rnacentral:snoRNA from 1 species
AAGGCAUGGCCGAAUACUGUGUUCUUUUAUCAGUAGUUUACACAGCCAGACACCAUGCAAAAGCAGUCUUCCCUUUGGAAUGACCAAUGGUAUGCUAAGGUUUUUCAUAGCAUAUCAUUAUUAAAGGUGAAUACAGAU